rnacentral:lncRNA from 1 species
GCGCGGGCGGCUACGGAAGCGGCGCGCGGCCCGCCCGGUGCAUGAUGAAAUAGUAGUGCAGGCAGGCCGCAGGCGCGCGCAGCCGCACUGCUCCCCCGCCGGCGCGCGCAGCCUCCGCGUCCGCAGCCGCAGAUUCGGCACAGAACCCGGAAGGGCGCCCACUGGCUCCGAGGGACGUGCGGGGAGGACGAGAUCUGUUGAUAAAAUGAUAAAAUAUUUUCUUCAAAUUGCUGCAUACGUCUCUGCAGCCACCACAGUUCCCUGAAGACCAUGACUGGAAGUUGAUGUUCAACUGCCACAGCAGAGUUGACCUUGGGUUCCAGGAACGACAGGCUUGAGUGACAAACAUCUUUGACAAGGGACUGAAGCGCCUCCAAACUACAGUGAGUCUCACAGGGAAAGUUACCACACCUGUGAGUGGGGGCACCUGCCCCCAGUGGUGAGGCUGUGAGCGGAACAAGAGUAGUCAAG